rnacentral:rRNA from 1 species
CCAAUAGCGUAUAUUAAAGUUGCUGCAGUUAAAAAGCUCGUAGUUGAAUUUCGGGACCAAUAUGUCGGUCGUGCCUCGGUACGUACUGGCAUCGUUGGUUUCUCCCUUCUGACGAACCAUGAUGUCAUUUCUUUGGUGUCGUGGGGAAUCAGGACUGUUACUUUGAAAAAAUUAGAGUGUUUAAAGCAGGCUCACGCUUGAAUACAUUAGCAUGGAAUAAUGAAAUAGGACGUUUGAUUCUAUUUUGUUGGUUUCUAGGAUCGACGUAAUGAUUAAUAGGGAUAGUUGGGGGCAUUAGUAUUCAAUUGUCAGAGGUGAAAUUCUUGGAUUUAUUGAAGACUAACUACUGCGAAAGCAUUUGCCAAGGAUGUUUUCAUUAAUCAAGAACGAAAGUUAGGGGAUCGAAGACGAUCAGAUACCGUCGUAGUCUUAACCAUAAACUAUGCCGACUAGGGAUCGGAUGAUGUUAAUUUUUUAAUGACUCAUUCGGCGCCUUACG